rnacentral:rRNA from 1 species
UGAUGCAGCGACGCCGCGUGAGGGAUGACGGCCUUCGGGUUGUAAACCUCUUUCAGCAGGGAAGAAGCGAAAGUGACGGUACCUGCAGAAGAAGCACCGGCUAACUACGUGCCAGCAGCCGCGGUAAUACGUAGGGUGCGAGCGUUGUCCGGAAUUAUUGGGCGUAAAGAGCUUGUAGGCGGUUUGUCGCGUCUGCUGUGAAAAUCCGGGGCUCAACCCCGGACUUGCAGUGGGUACGGGCAGACUAGAGUGUGGUAGGGGAGACUGGAAUUCCUGGUGUAGCGGUGAAAUGCGCAGAUAUCAGGAGGAACACCGAUGGCGAAGGCAGGUCUCUGGGCCACUACUGACGCUGAGAAGCGAAAGCAUGGGGAGCGAACAGGAUUAGAUACCCUGGUAGUCCAUGCCGUAAACGUUGGGCGCUAGGUGUGGGACUCAUUCCACGAGUUCCGUGCCGCAGCUAACGCAUUAAGCGCCCCGCCUGGGGAGUACGGCCGCAAGGCUAAAACUCAAAGGAAUUGACGGGGGCCCGCACAAGCGGCGGAGCAUGCGGAUUAAUUCGAUGCAACGCGAAGAACCUUACCAAGGCUUGACAUAUACCGGAAACAUCCAGAGAUGGGUGCCCCUUUUGGUCGGUAUACAGGUGGUGCAUGGUUGUCGUCAGCUCGUGUCGUGAGAUGUUGGGUUAAGUCCCGCAACGAGCGCAACCCUCGUUCUAUGUUGCCAGCACGUCAUGGUGGGGACUCAUAGGAGACUGCCGGGGUCAACUCGGAGGAAGGUGGGGAUGACGUCAAAUCAUCAUGCCCCUUAUGUCUUGGGCUUCACGCAUGCUACAAUGGCCGGUACAAAGGGCUGCGAUACCGCAAGGUGGAGCGAAUCCCAAAAACCGGUCUCAGUUCGGAU